rnacentral:misc_RNA from 1 species
UUGAAUAAAAACUUGAACAGGCUGUUUUUUGCUGGCCCUCCUCUCAGAGGGCAUGUGCACGCUUGUCAUUUUUUGUUUCUCCAACUGUGUGCACACAUUGUAGACCUGCCCCCCUCGUAUGGGAUUUGAUUGAGGAUUGCUUAUGCUUUCCUUGCAGGUGGUCUAUAUUCUUCACUACCUUUUUAUGUUUUGAAUGGGAUAAUAAAGUUUAUA